GAAGAAGAAAGAAUUCAUACCAGUAUAUCCUUCACAAAAUGGUCUUCUCCAUCUUUCGACUUGUAUUUCUGGGAAUUCUAUGUUCUGCUUUGGUUCUGACAACAGGGCAACCUGUGACGGUGAGUCCAUGGGUAGACUGUGCUGGACCAUGUGUUUCUUUCGACAAUUGCAACUUUAACUGUCAUAAUUUGGGAUACACUAGUGGGGGUUUCUGUGCAAUUUUCACUUGUUGUUGUUUCAGGAAAUGAUACACAUUCUACUCUCCACAAAUGCAUGCACUCCAAUAAAACAUAUCCAUCAAUAAAACAACAUUUGCCAUUUUAAGAUUGAAUUAUAAUGUAUUACUCAGAAUUAUAUAUUAGAGUACAUUUUAAUAAAAUUUAAUAUUUAUUUUAA